rnacentral:misc_RNA from 1 species
AAUCUUGAAGUGCCGUGAGGCGGUUGUAAAACGUCUCUCCGUACUUGGAUUAAGUGUUGUUAUAUUGUCUGGUCCUUUUGGGAUCAUGGAAUCUAUUUAAAAGAUGUAUCAUAUAGUUCUGCUUAAGCCGGUGCUAGGGGGCGUGAGAUGUGUUGCACAUUUCAUUACCUCUCAUGAACAGACUCAAUCUGCUAUUAUUUUGCUUGGUUCCAUACUAUGCUUCCAAAUGAUCUUUUUACAGAUUUUCUUUCCAAUUUUUGGUCCUUGUAUGACUCAGAAAUUGUCGAAUAGUUUAAUGCGCAGCUUGUUAAAUAAACUUAGGAGACCAACGCUUCUUUGGGAGACAAGCACAAUUGAAAGAUUUCACACAACGCAAGAGCAUUAUUUUAUCUUUAUCGGCAAAGUAAUAUAUCAUGAAACUAACGGACAUUCUUCAGCUUUAGAUAAAUGUACGCAAAUGCCCUUAAAAAUUAAAGUCAUACCGUGUAUUAUUGUACGUAAUUUAGUUGAUCAGAUAAAUGUUUUUAUUUCAAUUGCUGGAGUAAGCUAAUAACUUAUAGCCAUUAAGUAGUUCUGUCUAGAUUAAACUGUAUUUGCUGAAGAGAAGCGCUAAUGCAGUCGUACGAUAAAAGCUGAUUAUAUACUGGUAAAUCAUGAUGAAUUUGAACUUUGAAUUUUUUAUUAACAAUAAAGUUUCCCUUAGAUUUCUAUCUGGAAUCUACCUGCACGUCUUUCUGACUGUAUGUCUAUAUUGUGGAUUAUGCUAAAGCAUAUACCGUUUUAGAUGGAUUUAUCUGUUAAAAUUCAGCUGAAAUCUACACGUGAAACAAGCAUAACUUAACAGUUUUGGCGUUUAAAUUACUAGUUUUCGAAACAACUACUGGUAAGUAAGAUUGAAAUUCGGCACGAGAUUGCCAUUAAAUUCCAUCUUAGCAGGCGACCAAAAACACCGCACGGUGGUUUUAAUAAAUAAAUAUUAAAGGAAAGUAGUACAUAUUACCUGAAAAUGUAUCCUUUUCUAAUUUAUUCUUCGAAACAUAACAAUUCUUUCCGUUUAUCUUUCUACAAAAGAAAUAAAAACUCACAUAAACAUCGACCAUCGCGUUAAAACGGUAGAGAUAAUUAAAGUUAUAGUGCGGUUUCACAUAAACUUUGAAGAAAAAGACAGUUUUAGGGUGUCUUUUCUCUCUCUGAAUGAAAAGAUAGAGCUUCAAAACUUAUUACCUUCAUUCUUGGAUAGCUUAAAAAACGUGAAUAGUCAGUCCUUCGGAGGGAUCUUUUUUGUCACACCUCACUAGCACUUUUGUGUAGGGACUUUCUUACGACAAUACUAUAUAUAAUAUACGGAAUAAUACAUAAACAUAGAUAAAUCUUUCAAUCUCAUUUUGAAUUGUUCCUUGUCAUUCUUGAGAAGUACAUCUCAGUUGACAUUCACUUGAUAUUUACAGUACGAGCCAAUAUACACAAGAUAUAUAUGUAUAACUUUUGGAAUAUAACAACUUUGUGUUUAGUCCACUAACUCAACCAAAUGCUGGGAAACAUCGAUACUUCCCGUUUUUCAGUGGCAUUGGCUCCCAGUUACCCCAACAUGGCUUUGGUGGAACGCAUGUAGUUGGUCUAAAAAAAAUCAACGUUUAGACAUAAAAUUUCAAUUUCAGUCCAAAUGUUGUUUAUUUUAAAGUACACACAUACCCACCUACCCUUUCAGACAUCAAAAGGUCACUUGGUUAUGGAGUUUGCAUUUUGCGAUUCGAAUGUGAUUAAUUGGUUCAGUAUUAAAGCCUGGAAAGAUCAUAACAAUUUUAUAACCAACUUUUGAGAAACUGCAUCUCGGUUCAAUAUAUAUCUCGAUCAUUUUAGUAAAAUUCAAUUUGCAAUUUGAACUUUGAAAAUGCAAAAUAGUUUACAGUUUGUAAUUCGAAUGGCAAACUGCAAACUGCAGACUAACUUGGCUCCUAUACAGCAGCAGCCGGAAGUAUGCACUUGCAACAUGUUUAUUGUUUGAGAAAUAAACCGACAGAUAAAUAAAUACGUUUAAAUGGAACUGGUUUUUACGUGCUGUUUGGAGGCAAUUUCCUUAAGCAAUAAAAUAUCUCAAACAGUGACUUUGUCGUUGAAUAUUUCAAUAAUUGUGUGCGCUUCAGAUGGAAUUAUAUAAUUUUUAUCUGAACCACAAACUAUGAGUUUAUUCAACGACCAAAAUAUUGUUAGAGAUAUAUUAAUUCGGUUCUAAUGCAAUAUCAAGAAAUCUAUCUAUAUCUUUGACCAUAUCCACCAAAUUCAACAUGCGAACGACGAAAAUAUUUGUUGUACUGAUUAAAUUGUUGUUUCAUCCAACUAGUUAUGCAACUGUCAUAUCGAGAUUGUUGUCGUUGCGAGAUUGUAACAUUAGGUAGCUCCUGAUGAUCUGAGUGAAAUAAAGAAAUUGAAGUUUAUAAUUCGUGUUCAAUUUCUUAUUUGCUAAUAACAGGUUAUAUAUAUAUAGCUACAUCAAUUCAAAAUAACCUGUUUUCACACAUGAAACCAGAAUCAAUAUCUUAUUACACAUAAUUAGCGUUGAGAUGAUGUCACGUGUUAUCGUAGAGGCGUCACUUACGUUGUAACGUACCCUGCCCGAAAUGGACACGACCACGUGAUAGAUAAAGGGUGUCAGAAUGGCAUUUUCUUACCCGCCGGAAAAAGCGCUUUUUAAUUAAAUAUUUUAUUACUUAUAUUUAUUUGCCGUAAUUUCGCAUUUUAAAAGUAAAUCGAUUUCUCGGUAAUGCAAACUAAUUACCUCAUCUCGUCAACUCGGCAUGACAGAAAUCCUCAAAGAAAGAGUUACUUUGACAACUAUUCGCUCUGAAAACUAAUUUUGAACAUAUUAGCUUUCUGCUUGACAGUACUUCAACAUCAGUGGUCUACUAAACAUAGGUUUUAAAACUUAACCUUUUUUACCUUGUUUUUUGAACCGAGGUAAACUACCACUGUUUAAGAUUAUAUCAAAUUACCAUAAUGCUAACCAGAAUUUGUAUUUUUUAAGGUCAUAAGUCGUAUUUAAAGUAAAAACUGCAAAACUAAAUAAAAUACGUGGGGUUUUUUUUUUGUGUCUUUUUUUUUAUAAAACAACAAUAAGAAUGCUGGUGUACAGUUUUUAUACAGCCUGUUUAUUGAUUCGAAAGAUGACGUUAAUGCUUGCAUGCUUUGUUAAUUCACGCAAGUCGGACAAAAUCGUGAAUAAAAUACAUUUAUGAAGUUUUGCGGUUGUAAACGUUUUACAGCAAUUUUGUAACGAGGACUUAAUGCAAGAAAAAUGAACAAAUUUAUAACAGUAAUUGUUAUAGGAUUGAAUCUUGUUUUUCAUAGUCAGUUUGCAACAGCUGGGUUUACAAGUUUUCAAGAACUGGAAACAACUUUGUUACAGGCUACAUUGAAUGAAUAUGCCAGCAGACCUCAAUCUUCCGACCCCGACGGUGCUGUGAAUGUAGGUGUUCGGGUGGUAUUUACCGACGUACAGCCAAUACAACGAGAGAGUAUCGACGUCAUUGUUCAUAUUCAAUCAGAAUGGGAUGACGUACGUCUGCAAUACAACGUUACGUCGGGAACACCGGCAAGAAUAAACGAAACGUUGAUAUACGCUCUUCAUGAGAAAAUCUGGAAGCCAGACUUUUAUCUUGAACCCUGAAUGGACAUUAAAUAACGAUGUUGGGAAAAUGAAUAUAAGAAUUAUAGCUAAUGGACAAGUCGGCAAGAAUAAAAGGUUCAGAGCCACGAUUCCUUGCACGACCAGCUUUGUUGGUAUUGAACAUACAGAUUUCAUCUGCACAACAAGAGUUAUGUCCUAUUCCUACUUUGAUAAUGAGGUGAAGUUGUACUGGGUUGCUGAUGAGCCACUUGCGAUUGAAGUAUGGAGCAAUAGACGCGGCAUCAGAAAUAACUAGAGGAGAAAAUGAUACUUGUCACUGGGAUACAUUUGAUGGAAUGAGAACGUCAUGCAUUGAAGUAAAGCUGUUUAUCACCAAACGAUUUCCGUCCAUCUUCUAUCGUUUAUACUUACCAAGUUUCAUGGCAGUACUCAUGGCAUGGUCCAGCUUCUGGAUCCACCGUGAUGAAGCUUCGGCAAGAAUCAAACUUGGAACUCUUGUUGUGUGGACCGUAAUGACAGAGUACAUUUCUCUCGAAGUUGCCUUUCCGAAUUACCUGGAUAACAUUGCUGGAAAUGUAUGGAUGUUAGGAUGCAUGUUUUUCACGUGGGCUUCGUUUAUACUCUACGUCAUUAUUCACGUGGUACGGAGACGAGAAAAGGCUAAAGCGAGACACGAUGAAGAAAGGGAAAAGGAAAAAGAGAAAGAAGAAAAAAGAACAGGGGAGAGAGCUCUUUCAAUAUCCGCCCUCCAUCCGGAUGCGCGGCUUGCAAGUGGAGGGUUGAAAGGAUAUUCUGUAUGGGAUAACCGGAAUAAGUUCAAAGUAACGAAGAUAUACAUUUCUUCGUUCACAUUAGAACGCUGGUGUAGAAUCUGGUUUGGAAUUCUCUUCUUCGGAUUUACUAUUUUCUUCCUCGCAUUCUUUGGACAGGAUUUGUUUGCGUGACAACUGAAGAGAUACUUCACCUUGCGCGUACGGUCAGCUAAUGAACUGGUUAACUCGUAUUAAAGUUCAAUAUUAAAAACAUAUAAUUAUGCAGUCCAAACAAAGACUGCACACUGCUGAAUAGUUAGAAAAAAGAUACAUUCAAUAUUACACAUAGAACUAUUAUGUAAGGGUCAUAAGGUUAUAUUCUACCAAUUCAAUUCCUUAUUUAUUUCAUAUUAAUAACAAAACAUCCAGACCUCAUUUUCAGCACUUUAGAGCAUUUCAA